UACGUAGGGGGCGAGCGUUGUCCGGAGUUACUGGGCGUAAAGGGCAUGCAGGCGGUCGGACGCGUUUCGGGUGACAGCGGGUGGCUUAACUACCCGAGUGGUCGAAAGACGGUUUGACUUGAGGACGCGAGAGGGACACGGAAUUCCGGGUGGAGUGGUGAAAUGCGUAGAGAUCCGGAGGAACACCGAAGGCGAAGGCAGUGUCCUGGCGCGUAACUGACGCUGAGGUGCGAAAGCCGGGGGAGCGAACAGG
rnacentral:rRNA from 1 species